GGCGAGGGGAAGGGAUGCACUGUACGCUGGGGACCCCGCGUGUGCUGGGCACCUAAUAAACCAGUUACAACAAGACUCCCACUGCAUUACCACGCAGUUUCAGCAGCAGCUAAGAGAAAUGGGUCUGGAAAGUAAACUCAUAUCCUCAGCAUGGAGCCGUUAGAAGCUUCACCGCAGCAUCACUCGCUGCUCCACCGCAGCAUCACUGGCUACCGUGGGAAGGGGAGAACUGCGUGGUGGUGCCGACCGGCUCUGCAGCCCGUGGUGCAUCUGGCAGUGACAAGAUGCUAAAAAGGAAGAGAUCUUCUGAUGAAACCCCGAGCCUCAGCAUCCUCCAUGGCAGCAGAGCCAAAUGGUGACGUCCUGUGCUGUUCUCACCAAGGAAUAAUACAGAGCUCCUUGUCCAGGAGGUAACUCUGGGGCACUGGGAUGGGGGGGCGAUAACCAGAUCCCCCUUGGCCCCACUGCUCUGG